GAGGCAAGGAGGGAGGGAAGAGGGAUGCUGCAUUUUAGUGAUAACACAGACUGAGACUGCAGGAGCAGACAGGGGGACGGAGAGAAUCAAUGAGAGAGGUAGAAAUUAAGAGAGAGGAGCGGAGCAUUGUCUGAGAGAGCAUGACAGGAUUCCCACACAGACUGUGACAAACGUGUACUUGAAGAAGCAGCAGAAGGGGGAAAAAGGGAGCAAACUUGCAUCAGUGACCACAGCAAGUGAAAAGACACCUCUGUUUCAGAAGAGGAGAGAAGAAACCACCUGUAAUCAUGCUGUCCUUCCAUCUGUCUCAACAAGAUGCAGAUGUCUCUUUUCGUUGCCUGGGACAAAAGAGAAAUGUUGAAUGGAUUCUAAUGUGCUGUUAGAGACAGGAGUAAAAAAAAAAAAAAAAACUAGCAAGCUUCUGGGAGGAAAAGGGAGGAGAGAGCAGUAUGAGUCAGAGCACAGCAGCUAGAAUAGUAUGUAUUCGGCAUGCAAGAGGAGGGAAAUACAGAGGACUUGACCAGAAUUGAGCAGUCAUUAGACAGAAGGACAGGAGGAGACAGAAGCAGCCACACUGGCAGGAGGAUGUAAGAUAUAGGCCAAGUGAAUCAGCUUGCUAGAGGGAGACGAAGGCAAGUUUACAAAGUGAAGGUUUCUGAAGAGCGUUGGAGGGAAGGUUAAUUGAAGGUUUGCUGCAGGGUGGAGAGUGGACAGAAAACAGUGAAGGACAGAAGGACAGGCUUAAUGAAAAAUAAAAGUCCUGAGUGACUGUGUCUUACUACAGGGAGGGGACAUUACUGAGGUUUGCAUAUGGCAGGACAAGCUUCAAGAAGGUUGACAAAUUGAUAGAGAGAAAAGGUAAAAAAAAAAGAGAAGAACACACCAAAAACAGCAGAACACAGAGACGACGUGGCAUGGAAACUUUAACUCUGAUAGCAACACAGCAAGAGUUUCCCAUUAAAUAUUGAUGCUGACACCCCACUCUGGAAAGAACUCGCUCCUUGCACCACGGAGGGGGAAACAGAAGGAAAAAACACUUGCUUUUUUAAUUCUAAGGGAUUUUUACACCAGAAUAGACAAGCUGUUAAGUGUGUCAGAUGGCAGCUGAGUUGGGUUAAGUUCAAAUGUUGCUACAAAUUCAGACAAGACAUACAGAUCUUGGUCCAGCUGUGCACGAUCUCUGGGAGAGUGGAAUAACUACAGAGAGAGGAACUGGACCUUCAUCUUGUGUGGGAACAACAAGGAAGAAGAAAAUUAAAAUUGGAGAGAUCACUAAGACUACAUCAGGACCAGAACAAUUUCUUCUUUUCUAUGAGAACAUGAACCAGCUCUGGCUGAUGAAUACAGAUCCAUUUUGGAUUGACAUGCUGUACCUGCUUUGACAGUCACUCUGGGGCUACAUCACUGCCAGAUGAGAGAAGCCAAACACUGCUGAAGCAUUCACAAAUGUUUCCUAUUUUUAUUUUGUCCUGGACUGAUUGAAACUGUUCCAACUGUCUCUGAAAAUGACCUCAUUACAGAGAUUUGGCCAGUGGAGGAUUACUGUCAUGGCUUGAGGAAAUAUAAGUGUGGAAAUGCUUUAAUGUGCAUCAACACACAGCAUCCUUAAUUGGAAGCAGAGUGUAUACUUUGUUUUUGUCUCCAUGACUGCAUAAGGACAAUCCUCCAACUUAAUUUAACCAAGAAAUUAAGAUAGAGACUUCCUUCGGUCUGACCUGAAUCACAGAUUCCUCAAAACAUCACAAUAGUAACGCAGGAGGACACAACGCCACAGUCUCCAUUCAGCUGCGGAUAUACCAGCUGCAUUUUUAUGUGUGUGGAGGGCUAUAAGGACUGUCGAAAAACUCAGCUGUGUUUGUGUGUAUGCUUGUGUGGGUGUGGAGGUGUAUGUGAGCCCAGCUGUGUCUAAGUGUAUUUUCAAAGCAUCCCCCGGAGCUGUGUGAGUGUGUGUUGUGUGUGUGUGUGUGUGUUGCCUGGAUUCUCCCCACCAGCGACAGAGCUGGACCUGAACAGCAGUGGUGAGAGGGGGGACAGGGAGGGGGAGGAGGAGGAGAAGAGAGAGGUGAAAGAAACCAACAGGGCGGAGGAGAAGAAAAAACUGACAACAUGCUCGGAUAAAGACAAAAAAGAAGGGAGUUUUUGGCAGCCCCCCUGGUGCAAUGUGUGGCGUGGCACCCUGUGGGGGUGGGGUUCUGUGAUGGUAACCAUGGUCCCCGGCAGCCGCUAUGUCUGCAGCGCUCACGCUAGAGAGGAAGACACCACGAACGACCGCGAGGAGCGAAUUUUAGCCGUGCUGGGCAUCAUCGGUACCAUCCUCAAUCUUUUAGUGGUCAUAUUUGUCUACAUCUACACCUCCGUCACCUAAGGUUUUCGGCAAGAAUUUGAACGAGAGACGUUGGCACUGUCCCUAACCUUUCUCCGCACUGCUACCCUCCUCCUCUUUAAGUAUUUAUAUACCUAAGAGGGUUUGAGUAUUCAGAUUGAGCGUUAAGAUGUGAAGAUCCUUGGAAGUGUGUUCAGCUGGAUAGUAGCCAUAUUUAUCUACACCUGCAUCACUGCUUAUCCCUUAAGACAGCUUUGCUCUGUUAGCUAAAAACGACUGCCAAUCACAGGGAAGAAGUUGCAGGUGGAAUCAUCUGCACUUUCCUCCAAUUAAUGAAACUGCGUCUUCAAGACAAUUCCACACAACCACACGUCACAUGACAGUAUGUCCAGUCUAGUAAUGGGUAUCUGUAUUCAUAUGACUGGGGCAAAGCAUUUCUGUGACUGCUCAGACAAGUGUUGUUGAUCUAAUGGUGGUCCUAUUUGACUGUGUUACAUCUUCCUCUUUGUCACAUAACAUGUAAAGUGUGUCUUUAAACAAUCAAACACCUUUGUGACAUUUAAGAUAUCACUGCCAGUUCAUUUUAUCUAAAUGGUUUGACAACGAAGGCCCCUUUGAGUUAACUUGACCAAACUAUUGGAUAGGGAAAGAUGUGGUACGCCAUUAAAACUAUUAAAAGCGACCACCAUUGCCAAGUGAAUUAUUAACGGACUAAUAUUAACUAUUCUACUUGAAUAGAACAUUUAUACAAAUAUACAGAUUAUUACUCACACCCAUUGCUAAAUACUAGUUUAUGUAGUUAGUAGAGAGACUGAAAAAGAUUUACAUGGACCUAACGUGUCCACACCUGAGCACACCAGAGGAGAGAUUCCUGGCUGUGCUGGGAGUCAUCGGCAUCAUACUCAACCUCCUGCUGCUCGUCUUUGUCUAUAUAUACACCUCCAUCUGAUAUAUUUGCCUGAACACAGUAUCAGCUAUUAGAUUAUCCUGCCACACCUAACAUCACCUGUACCUUAGACUGUUCUUCAACCACACCUGUAUAUAUUGUACCUAAGUACAAUAUGGUACAAAGCCGAUUUGGGGAUUAUAUGAUAUUCUAGGCAGCUUUACGUGCCUAUUAAUAUAGUGAUACUCCAAUAAUAGUGGCAACAUGCACAUGAACAGAAGGUGAUGAGAGAAUUGAGAGGCCAAAGCAGUGCCACUGACUGCCACAAGAAUUUGCGGGUUUUUUUUGUAUUUGUGUUUUACAGUUGGUGUUUUUGUAGAUACAGUGCUCUUUCACAUAUGUGCGCGAUGAGAUGUUUACUCAAGGUUGUAUUAUUACCUUCAUCAUGAUUUGACCAAAAUACCUGACGUAAAGACUGCCAUUUCUUACUGUAAAUCUGUUUGUUCUACAUGUUUAUUGAUGGUGAAAACACUCAUGGAACUGAAUGGUGUUGAUGUUUCAGUCUGUGCAGCGGCUCUGCACACCAUCAAAGAUCCCUCUGUGGAAGGUCGGUACAGCGGGACAAUGGUCUAUUUUCUGGUGCCAUGUGUGAUUCUGAUCUGUGAUUGGAUCUGUAAGCCACGUGCAGCGCAGCAUCGGAGAGGGCAAAGCGUGGAACUGAGACAAUGUUGCACAAAUCAAGACAGUGGCCUGUUGCGGUGCAACACAAAGGACUGCAACAGUAAAGAAAGAAUCAGGUUGAACCAGUGUGGAUUGUCUGAAAAAAGAGGAUAUAAAACUUCUGUACAAGGCUUCACCAUCUGUCUCAAAACUCAUUUAAGCACAAAAACUUCCCAGGGAUUGGGUUACAACAUUUCCUCUAAAGCUGCAUGUCACUCUGGAUAUGAUUUUAGGUCUAAGCACUGUGCCUCUGACGGAGGAGCAAAUCUGAAUGCAGCUGAAAUGCGAACAGAGAGGACUGGCCUGAAUCUACACUUCAUCCUUGUUAUUCUCUUUUCCACCAACAAGCUAACACCAGAGAAGACAUAGUACUGAGAGGACCCGCAUGUGUCUCUGCUGUCUUUUCCCACAGCACAAAAUCAUGGAUAUAUACACAGGCACAGACUUAAUUUCAUUCAUCAUCAGUCAGAUGUUCUGAGAGUGAAGACACAUCCCCAGACCAAAGGACUCCAGAAACAGAACAACCAGCAACUUCAACUCACUUUACAAUUUCACAAGUUGGCUUGUAAGAAUAAGUACUGAGAUUUUGAUAAUCAUAUAAGAUUCCUUCUUACAUAGCAUAUGUAUGCUCUUAGUGUUAGCAUCUGUUUAUCAUGAAGUGUUUUGUUUGGACAGGUUUGCAAGCAAAGUCAAAAGCAACAAUGUUUGGUAUGAAGCUCAACAAAUAUCUAUGGUUCUGGUGAUUACAUUUUUAUGAAGUGUAGAAUAGUACAGAUAAGUAUUUCCAUGGUCAUGGCUACAGAACAGCUGGAUGAACAAGUGACAGCAAUUUUCCUGCAUGAGUAAUUAGCUUUUACUAAGAACUAUUAGUUGCUUUGUUGAGUUUUAAAACAGCAAAGAGGAAAAAUCAAAAGGGUACAUAUUUUAAUUACCUGUAUAAGGACUCUCUCUUUCUCACCAUCUCACACACUUGUACUUGUUUACGUGGGGACCCUUAUUGACAAAUUGCAUUAGCAACCUUAACCUUAACACAACAUGCUUCAUCCCAAAACUGUACAGUAUGUAACAUUAACCUGAACCUAAUUCUGGAAAUCCAAAAAAAUAUAUAUAUUUCUAUUGAUUAUGUUAACAUUGUACUCACCAAAGUAAUUGUUAAGAUCUGGGGACUCGGUGGCAUUACCAAAAAUAGAUAUUGAACAAAGCAAAAUACACAAGGUUAAGUCAAACUUAUUUGGAAGAGAAAAUGAAGGCAAACUUUCAACAUUAAUACCCAAGCUGUCUGUUUAGCUGACAACUUCCUGGUUCAACUUUGACCUACCAUAUUUGCUGUAGUUAUGCACACUCAAGAUUUUCCUAUGCGGUGAGAGAUUAUUAGCAACAUUACGGGUUUACUCACUUUUUAUUCCAUCUUCAAAUUAAGAUAAUCUGGCAAAAACAUUAGCUUGUUUACAGCCUGUAUGGUUAUCUGACCGCUACUGUUUGCUGCCCCUUGAACUUAGUUUUAGCUUUGCCACAUUCUGAGAUCUUAACAAUUAGUUCAGAGUACUUAAACUAAAAAAAUAAAACCCAAAUUGUAAUAAACCAUUAUUUUUUAUUUAUUCAACCCUAAAACUUUAAACCUUGAAUAUUUGAAGUGAGAACCAGCCAAAAUAUUCCAAAACAUUCUCACUCUCAAUACCUAGACUCAAACUGGUCCUCACUCACACACACACACACACACACACACACACACACACACACACACACACACACACACACACACACACACACACACACACACAUAAACACUUGCUACUUGCAUCUCUCUUCAUGAGUUUAAUUUUACACCGUCUUUCAGCACACAUCAGGAGCGCACGCUGAGAUCAGUGUGACUUGCACAUUUAUUUCCUGUCACAUCCAAUAAGUGUACAGUGGAGUUUGUUGAGCUAAAUCCAUUUUGGGAGUGCACCAAAGCCCAGAGUAAGCCACAUUUAGUUUGCCAGACGUAUGCUGUCAGACUGUAACAGUCAAACCCACAGCUGUGCCGAAACUAUAAAAAAAAAAAAAUUAAAAAAAAGUUUGCGUUGCCUUUUCGCUAGUGUUUAUUCACUUUUUAACAAGACACACUUUAAUAAAUGAUUUAGUAAGUAUUAAGUAAUGUCUUCAUUUAAGUUUAAUAAAUCCUUUACUAUCAUUUACUAAUGCAAUAUGUCUUACUACAAAAUGAGAAUCCCAUGAACAUUUAUUUAAUGAUUACUAACAUUACCAACUAUAUUAACAACAAAUAGAAAGAAUAAACACCAGCUAACAUUCCUCAUGAAAGUUUUUUAAUUCAUCAAUAACACAAUAGUAAAUUAUUUAUCAACCAUUACUAACAGAAUUGGUGUUUAUAAUCCCUUUUACAGGGUGCUAUGUAAAGUGGUACCAAUUUUAAAAAGGCCGGCAGUAAAACUUU